rnacentral:rRNA from 1 species
AUACGGUGAAUACGUUCCCCGGACCUUGCACACGCCGCCCGUUCAAGCCAUGGAAGCCGGGUGUACCUAAAGUCGGUAACCGUAAGGAGCCGCCUAGGGUAAAACUAGUAACUGGGGCUAAGUCGUAAACAAGGUACC